UACGUAGGUGGCAAGCGUUGUCCGGAAUUAUUGGGCGUAAAGCGCGCGCAGGCGGCCUUUUAAGUCUGAUGUGAAAGCCCACGGCUCAACCGUGGAAGGUCAUUGGAAACUGAAAGGCUUGAGUACAGAAGAGGAAAGCGGAAUUCCACGUGUAGCGGUGAAAUGCGUAGAGAUGUGGAGGAACACCAGUGGCGAAGGCGCUUUCUGGCCUGCUCUUGACGCUGAGGCACGAAAGCGUGGGGAGCAAACAGG
rnacentral:rRNA from 1 species